rnacentral:rRNA from 1 species
GGCGGAAUAUGUAGUGUAGCGGUGAAAUGCUUAGAUAUUACAUAGAACGCCAAUUGCGAAGGCAGCUCACUAAGCUAUAAUUGACGCUGAUGCACGAAAGCGUGGGGAUCAAACAGGAUUAGAUACCCUGGUAGUCCACGCCGUAAACGAUGAUAACUCGCUAUUGGCGAUACACAGUCAGUGGCUUAGCGAAAGCGUUAAGUUAUCCACCUGGGGAGUACGACCGCAAGGUUGAAACUCAAAGGAAUUGACGGGGGCCCGCACAAGCGGAGGAACAUGUGGUUUAAUUCGAUGAUACGCGAGGAACCUUACCUAGACUUGAACGUAUUUGGACAGAUUCAGAGAUGGAUUCUUCUUUCGGGACCAUUUACGAGGUGCUGCAUGGUUGUCGUCAGCUCGUGCCGUGAGGUGUCGGGUUAAGUCCCAUAACGAGCGCAACCCUUGCCAAUAGUUGCCAGCGAGUAAUGUCGGGGACUCUAUUGGGACUGCCGGUGUAAACCGUGAGGAAGGUGGGGAUGACGUCAAAUCAGCACGGCCCUUACGUCUAGGGCGACACACGUGUUACAACGGCCAGUACAGAGGGUCGCUAUUAAGUGAUUAGAUGCUA